rnacentral:tRNA from 1 species
GGAGACAUGGCUCAGUGGUUAAGAGCACUAGCUGUUCUUCCAGAGGACCUGGGUUCAAUUCCCAGCCA